GAAGCGGUUCGUAGCGAGAUGGAUUCCAUCUUGGAGAAUGAAACUUGGGAGAUAACUGAUCGUCCUUAUGGGUGCAAACCUAUAGGAUGCAAAUGGGUAUUCAAGAAGAAGCUUAGGCCUAAUGGUACUAUUGAAAAGUACAAGGCUCGCCUCGUGGCAAAGGGUUAUACCCAAAAGGAAGGUGAAGACUUCUUUGAUACUUACUCACAUGUGGCUCGACUGACAACUAUUCGAGUUAAGACUGCUUUCCUAAAUGGAGAGUUGGAUGAGGAAAUUUAUAUGGAACAACCAGAUGGGUUUGUAAUAGAUGGUCAGGAAGGGAAAGUGUGCAAGUUGCUGAAGUCUUUGUAUGGACUCAAGCAAGCACCCAAACAGUGGCAUGAGAAAUUCGAAAGAACUUUAACAGCUGCAGGCUUUGUUGUGAACGAAGCUGAUAAAUGUGUGUACUAUCGCCAUGGUGGGGGCGAGGGAGUUAUGCUUUGCUUGUAUGUUGAUGACAUACUAAUUUUCGGAACAAAUCUGAAUGUUAUUAAGGAGGUCAAGGAUUUCCUAUCUCGUUGUUUUGAGAUGAAGGAUUUAGGAGUGGCUGAUGUCAUUCUGAACAUCAAGUUGUUGAGAGAUGAUGAUGGUGGGAUUACAUUGCUUCAAUCUCACUAUGUGGAAAAGAUCUUGAGUCGCUUUGGCUAUAAUGACUGCAAGCCCUCUCCCACACCAUAUGAUGCUAGCGUGCUGCUUCGAAAGAAUCGAAGAAUUGCUAGAGAUCAAUUGAAGUAUUCUCAGAUUAUUGGCUUGCUUAUGUACUUAGCAAGUGCUACAAGACCUGACAUCUCUUUUGCUGUUAGCAAACUGAGUCGGUUUGUUUCAAAACCAGGAGAUGUGCAUUGGAAAGCUCUAGAGAGAGUUUUGCGUUAUUUGAAAGGCACUGCGAAUUAUGGAAUUCACUACACUGGGCAUCCAAAGGCGCUUGAAGGGUAUAGUGACUCAAACUGGAUCUCAGAUGCUGAUGAGAUAAAGGCCACGAGCGGUUAUGUAUUCACUCAUGGAGGUGGCGCUGUUUCUUGGAAGUCUUGCAAGAAGACCAUCUUAACGAGGUCAACAAUGGAAGCAGAACUCACAGCACUAGAUACAGCUACGGUCGAAGCAGAUUGGCUUCGCCGGCUCUUGAAUGACUUCCCGAUAGUUGAGAAACCUGUACCGGGUAUCCUUAUGAACUGUGACAAUCAAACAGUGAUCACUAAAGUGAGCAGCUCAAAGGAUAACAUGAAGUCAUCAAGACACGUUCAGAGAAGGUUAAAGUCUGUCAGAAAAAUGAAAAACUCCGGAGUUAUUGCAUUGGAUUAUAUC
rnacentral:rRNA from 1 species